rfam:Clostridium saccharolyticum WM1, complete genome.
UCCAUCAUGAGGUGGAAUCUGAAGGAAACGGGAUACUGGGAACAUACUAAUCAGUGGGCAAAUUUCUGGUCUGACGAACAGAAAUCAUAUCAAGCUAUGCAUGAGGGUAAGACUGUGCUACAAGUUGAAGCCCGAUAACUACACAGAAUCAUGUAUGGUAAAUGUGGAAGAUAGAUGGAGAGUAGGAACGUAUG